rnacentral:tRNA from 2 species
UGCUGGUCUGGCGCAGCGGCGUCGGCGCGGCCGCCUGGUGGCGGCAGACCCGCGGCCUGGCGUUGAUCGUGCUCGCGGUCGGCCU